rnacentral:rRNA from 1 species
AUUGAACGCUGGCGGCAGGCCUAACACAUGCAAGUCGAGCGGAGCGGCGGACGGGGGCGUAAUGCCUAGGAAUCUGCCUGGUAGUGAGGGAUAACGUCCGGUAACGGGCGCGAAUACCGCAUCCUCUCAGAUGAGCCUAGGUCGGAUUAGCUAGUGGGUGGGGUAAGGGCCUACCAAGGCGACGAUCCGUAACUGGUCUGAGAGGAUGAUCAGCCACACGGGAACUGAGACACGGUCCAGACUCCUACGGGAGGCAGCAGUGGGGAAUAUUGGACAAUGGGCGAAAGCCUGAUCCAGCCAUGCCGCGUGUGUGAAGAAGGGCUUCGGAUUGUAAAGCACUUUAAGUUAGGAGGCGUUACCAACAGAAUAAGCACCGGCUAACUCCGUGCCAGCAGCCGCGGUAAUUC